rfam:Schistosoma mansoni strain Puerto Rico chromosome 2, complete genome
AUCCAGUUGACGAGUCCCAAACUGGACGAAACGUGCGUCCUGGAU